UACGAAGGGUGCAAGCGUUAAUCGGAAUUACUGGGCGUAAAGCGUGCGUAGGCGGUUUGUUAAGUCUGCUGUGAAAUCCCCGGGCUCAACCUGGGAAUGGCAGUGGAUACUGGCAAGCUAGAGUGUGUCAGAGGAUGGUGGAAUUCCCGGUGUAGCGGUGAAAUGCGUAGAGAUCGGGAGGAACAUCAGUGGCGAAGGCGGCCAUCUGGGGACAACACUGACGCUGAGGCACGAAAGCGUGGGGAGCGAACAGG
rnacentral:rRNA from 1 species